CUGUGUCUCUUGUGUGCAGGAAACCCCGACUGCGCAUCCUACUACAGCUCCCGGAACUCAGAAGACAGUCGACCCCCAAAACUGUCCAGGAAGUAAUCGGUUUCCGGCUUUUGGACAAUGGUCCCUCGCUUAACGAAUGCUAACGAAUGCUCCCUUAGCUGGGAGCUGCAGGGACCGGUCCCGGCAGGUCUAACCAACCGUCCGCAGGCGCCGUGGUCGAGAGCAGAGCCGAGACGGCGGGGCAGGGUGCCAAGCGGAGGGCACAGCCUGGCAGCCACCGUUGGCGGCAGGAGAGAAUGGGAGAAGGGAGACCCGCUUCUCAGCACAAGGGCAUCUGUCUACUCCCGAACAUGGCCGGAGAUUCCUGUCCACAGCCUCCCUCCAGC
rnacentral:lncRNA from 1 species